AGAGUUUGAUCCUGGCUCAGGAUGAACGCUGGCGGUAUGCUUAACACAUGCAAGCCGAACGGGAUGCUUAGGCAUCUAGUGGCGGACGGGUGAGUAACGCGUGAGAAUCUGGCUCCAGGUCGGGGAUAACAGUUGGAAACGACUGCUAAUACCGGAUGUGCCGAAAGGUGAAAGGUUUAUUGCCUGGAGAUGAGCUCGCGUCUGAUUAGCUAGUUGGUGGUGUAAGGGACCACCAAGGCAUCGAUCAGUAGCUGGUCUGAGAGGAUGAUCAGCCACACUGGGACUGAGACACGGCUCAGACUCCUACGGGAGGCAGCAGUGGGGAAUUUUCCGCAAUGGGCGAAAGCCUGACGGAGCAAUACCGCGUGAGGGAGGAAGGCUCUUGGGUCGUAAACCUCUUUUCUCAAGGAAGAAGAAAGUGACGGUACUUGAGGAAUAAGCAUCGGCUAACUCCGUGCCAGCAGCCGCGGUAAUACGGAGGAUGCAAGCGUUAUCCGGAAUGAUUGGGCGUAAAGGGUCUGCAGGUGGAACUGAAAGUCUGCUGUUAAAGAGUUUGGCUUAACCAAAUAAAAGCGGUGGAAACUACAGAACUAGAGUGUGGUAGGGGCAAAAGGAAUUCCUGGUGUAGCGGUGAAAUGCGUAGAUAUCAGGAAGAACACCGGUGGCGAAAGCGUUUUGCUAGACCAUAACUGACACUGAGGGACGAAAGCUAGGGGAGCGAAUGGGAUUAGAUACCCCAGUAGUCCUAGCCGUAAACGAUGGAUACUAGGCGUGGCUUGUAUCGACCCGAGCCGUGCCGGAGCUAACGCGUUAAGUAUCCCGCCUGGGGAGUACGCACGCAAGUGUGAAACUCAAAGGAAUUGACGGG
rnacentral:rRNA from 1 species